rnacentral:rRNA from 1 species
UACGAAGGGGGCUAGCGUUGCUCGGAAUCACUGGGCGUAAAGGGUGCGUAGGCGGGUCUUUUAAGUCAGGGGUGAAAUCCUGGAGCUCAAACUCCAGAACUGCCUUUGAUACUGAAGAUCUUGAGUUCGGAAGAGGUUGGUGGAACUGCGAGUGUAGAGGUGAAAUUCGUAGAUAUUCGCAAGAACACCAGUGGCGAAGGCGGC